UAGGGAAUCUUCCGCAAUGGGCGAAAGCCUGACGGAGCAACGCCGCGUGAGUGAUGAAGGUCUUCGGAUCGUAAAACUCUGUUAUUAGGGAAGAACAAAUGUGUAAGUAACUAUGCACGUCUUGACGGUACCUAAUCAGAAAGCCACGGCUAACUACGUGCCAGCAGCCGCGGUAAUACGUAGGUGGCAAGCGUUAUCCGGAAUUAUUGGGCGUAAAGCGCGCGUAGGCGGUUUUUUAAGUCUGAUGUGAACGCCCACGGCUCAACCGUGGAGGGUGAUUGGAAGCUGGAAAACUUGGGUGCAGAAGAGGAAAGUGGAAUUCCAUGUGUGGCGGUGAAAUGCGCAGAGAUAUGGAGGAACACCAGUGGCGAAGGCGACUUUCUGGUCUGUAACUGACGCUGAUGUGCGAAAGCGUGGGGAUCAAACAGG
rnacentral:rRNA from 1 species